CGCCAAGGGAGGCGCACGCGGUCUGCCGCUAGCCGGGCGCCGGCCCCAAAUUCAAAUAUGUAAUAGUGACCGUUAAAACUACGGGCUUAAAACUUAGUUGCGUACAAAUAAUCGAGUAUAAUAGAGAGUUGUACUGAUCGCUAUAGUAUGUGAAUCGAUAUUUUUUCUGAAUUUUUAAAUAUUGCAGUGCGGCAGUGGCGUGUUUCCGAACAAAUGCGAGUGAAAACUGCUACCCUUUAAUUUUGAUACAGCAACCUGUUGACUGCCAGCAAUGCCACCGUACACGGGGUGCCGCACAGAAAAUGACUAUUUUGAGGUUAUGUGGAGACGAGGUCAAAGCCGAUCUCCGUAGCGCUGUCUAGAUCAGUUCUUUGCAAGGGCCGAAGGCGUUGCAAAGAUGAAUCUCCUCAACAUGGACGCGGAGAAUCGCGUGGUCCUAAACGUUGGCGGCAUUCGCCACGAAACCUACAAAGCUACGCUGAAGAAGAUCCCCGCGACGCGGCUGUCGCGGCUGACGGAGGCGCUCGCCAACUACGACCCCGUCCUCAACGAGUACUUCUUUGACCGCCACCCUGGCGUCUUCGCGCAGGUCCUCAACUAUUACAGGACGGGCAAGCUCCACUAUCCAACGGAUGUCUGCGGGCCGCUGUUUGAAGAAGAGCUGGAGUUCUGGGGCCUGGAUGCCAACCAGGUGGAGCCUUGCUGCUGGAUGACGUAUACCCAGCAUCGAGACACCCAGGAAACUCUAGCUGUCCUGGACCGCCUGGACCUGGAUACAGAGAAGCCGUCUGAUGAGGAAGUGGCGCGCAAGUUCGGUUUCGAAGAAGACUACUAUAAUGGAACAGUAUCCUGGUGGCAGCAGCUGAAACCGCAGAUGUGGUCUUUGUUUGACGAGCCUUAUAGUUCUAAUGCUGCGAAGAUAAUCGGAGUGAUAUCAGUGUUCUUCAUAUGCGUAUCCAUCAUAUCGUUCUGUCUCAAAACGCAUCCAGACAUGAGAGUUCCAGUGAUAAGGAAUUACACAGUGACGACCGCGAACCAGACGCAAAGCUGGGCGUUGGACAAAGUCCAGACCAACGCUCACAUUGCGUUCUUCUACAUCGAGUGUGUCUGUAACGCUUGGUUCACGCUAGAAAUUCUCGUACGCUUCAUUUCGUCCCCGAAUAAAUGCGAGUUCAUCAAAUCCUCCGUCAACAUCAUAGACUACAUCGCCACCAUGAGUUUCUACAUCGACCUAAUCCUCCAGAAGUACGCGUCUCACGUCGAGAACGCUGACAUCCUGGAGUUCUUCUCGAUCAUUCGGAUCAUGAGACUGUUUAAAUUGACCAGACACUCGUCCGGCUUGAAGAUUCUUAUACAGACUUUCAGGGCGUCGGCCAAAGAGUUGACCCUAUUAGUGUUUUUCCUAGUGCUCGGUAUAGUUAUAUUUGCGAGUUUGGUGUAUUACGCUGAGAGGAUUCAGACGAAUCCGCACAAUGACUUUAACAGCAUACCGCUUGGUUUGUGGUGGGCGCUGGUUACUAUGACGACGGUGGGUUAUGGAGACAUGGCUCCGAAGACCUAUGUAGGAAUGUUCGUGGGUGCUUUAUGCGCAUUAGCUGGUGUGUUGACGAUAGCUCUGCCAGUGCCUGUUAUAGUAUCCAAUUUCGCUAUGUACUAUUCGCACACGCAAGCGCGAGCCAAGCUGCCCAAGAAGCGACGGAGAGUCAUCAACGUGGAACCUACUAGGCCGCCACUGCGUGCGCCUGGAGCGCCCGGAGGCCCCGCGGGCCCUUUAGCCCCCGGCAUGGGGCCCCAAGCUGUGAACAGACGAAUGAAUGCCAUAAAAACUAACCACCCAAAAGACAUAAUGGGACCUAACAUGGAUGGUGAUCGUAGCGAACUCGAAGCUAUGAUCCAAACAACACCAAACAACUGCAAACGAAAAAAUUUAAACAUGCUUUAAAAAGCAACACUGACUCAGGGAACGGGCUUACUAUUACGCCUGCACUCAAGGAGCUUUCAGGAAUGCUAAAAGAAUCAUAAAUAAUUCACUAACAUUAUCACUUGCACAGAAAUUCGAGGCGACACUAGAAGCCAAAUAGGUCCCAUUGCCCCAUGAAGAGCAACGAAGUCGCAAGCCUAAUGCCAGGGAUGGACAUAGCUGUAGCCACGCGUUUGUCCCCAAGCCCCCGCGAUAUGAGCCCCGCUCUAGCGAUAGCGAUCCCAAUGAUGAAAUCAGUCAAUCUAGUACCAGC
rnacentral:misc_RNA from 1 species